CUUAGGAGAUCAGACAAUCCCUCUCACGGAGAAAUAAAUAACCCCAUUUAUCCUUCCAUCCCAAUAUCUCAAUCCAUAACUAAACAUUUGGAGACAACUAUUUUCUUUCCCACCUUCAAGAUCCGAAAGUGCAAACCUUGCAACCCCAAUUGGACGAGAUCCCUUGUACUUCUUGCAAUGCACCUCAGACGUGACUGAUUUUGCAUGCAUGAGAAUGUCUAACAAUAAUUUCUCGUUCCAUGCAAUCAAACCCUCUUCUCCACCACUAGAUUUUGAUCUAUGCGCAUCUUUUUCCAUAUAUAACGGUGAUUUCUAGGGUGCGUCUUGGUUUGGCAUCCAUAUUUAUUAGAAUUGAAUCAUAUAUGUCGAACUAAGUAAAUAUAUGAAAACGUGUUGAUGCUUGAAUGAUUAUGUGUUUUGCGAAUGGAAGAGAUAUUGAGAUUAAAAUGUAGGAAGAAGGUGAGG
rnacentral:lncRNA from 1 species